UACGUAGGGUGCGAGCGUUGUCCGGAAUUACUGGGCGUAAAGGGCUCGUAGGUGGUUUGUCGCGUCGUCUGUGAAAUUCCGGGGCUUAACUCCGGGCGUGCAGGCGAUACGGGCAUAACUUGAGUACUGUAGGGGUAACUGGAAUUCCUGGUGUAGCGGUGAAAUGCGCAGAUAUCAGGAGGAACACCGAUGGCGAAGGCAGGUUACUGGGCAGUUACUGACGCUGAGGAGCGAAAGCAUGGGUAGCGAACAGGAUUAGAUACCCCCGUAGUCC
rnacentral:rRNA from 1 species